CCAACAGGGAUUCCCCUAGUAGCUGCGAGCGAACGGGGAUGAGCCCAUCGCCGAAUCCCGCAUCCUCGUGGUGUCUGGGAAAUGUGGCGUUGGGGGGAUGGUUCUUCUGGCGUCGGGAUAGGCUGUGAGUUCCCCUGACCGGGACGUUUUUCCCAGAGCGGGUGCAAGGCCCGUAGCAGCCACUUCCCGUGCCAGUUGCCUCCCCUCCUAGAGUCGGGUUGCUUGAGAGUGCAACCCUAAGUAGGUGGUAAGCUCCAUCUAAGGCUAAAUACCGCUGCGAAACCGAUAGCAAACAAGUACCGUGAGGGAAAGUUGCAAAGAACUUUGAAGAGAGAGUUCAAGAGGACGUGAAACCGCUUGGAGGUAAACGGGUGGAACCACGAACUUCCCUGGCGGGAGGAUUCAGUGCGCGAUCGGUUUCGGCCGUCGGGUUUUUUAAAGCGAGGGACCGUCACUCGGCCCUACCCGAUCUGGUUCGUUCCGUCGCGUACGCAUUUCUUUCCCGCCCUCGGGACGUCGCGACUGGUCUGGGGGACGGCGUGACUGCGCGGCAAACGGGCAGGUAACCGGCGCGGCCUUCAACGGUCGUCGUCGGCCCUUAUAGCCCUGUCGGCAGGAACUCUUCCCACCGUGACCGAGGCCCUCAGGUGUCUCCGUACGGAGACGCGGCCCUCCCCUGCUCUGUGGUGGAGCAGCGCAGACAGCGCCCAGGCGUUUCCAGCCGCCCUUUUUUGUGCUCUGUUGUGCCGCCACUCACGAAAGUGACGGCGCGAGGCUGGUCGCCGUUGGGUUAGCGCUCGUCUUGCGCGGGGUGGCUCGGGUGUCWUGAAACACGGACCAAGAAGUCCAACACGUACGCGAGUCACGGGGUCUCUAAGAAGCCCAAUGGCGCAAUGAAAUGUGAAGGUCGUCCUUUGAUGACGACCGAGUUGCGAUCGCGCGUCUUGGAGGCGCGCGCGCAGCAACGGCCCGUCCUAACUGCUUCGUCAGUGGGGCGGAGCUAGAGCGUACGUGUUGGGACCCGAAAGAUGGUGAACUAUGCCUGGGCAAGGCGAAGCCAGGGGAAACUCUGGUGGAGGUCUGUAGCGAUUCUGACGUGCAAAUCGAUCGUCAGACCUAGGUAUAGGGGCGAAAGACUAAUCGAACCAUCUAGUAGCUGGUUCCUUCCGAAGUUUCCCUCAGGAUAGCUGGCGCUCGGGGAACCCAGUCUCAUCCGGUAAAGCGAAUGACUAGAGGCCUUGGGGCCGAAACGACCUCAACCUAUUCUCAAACUUUCAAUGGGUGAGAGCACGGGCCUGCUUGGAGAUGAGGCCCGUGACUAUUGGAUGCGAGUGCCUAGUGGGCCAUUUUUGGUAAGCAGAACUGGCGCUGUGGGAUGAACCAAACGCCGGGUUGUGGUGUCGGAGGCAGACGCUCAUGAGACCCCAUGAAAGGUGUUGGUUGCUCUAGACAGCAGGACGGUGGCCAUGGAAGUUGGAAACCGCUAAGGAGUGUGUAACAACUCACCUGCCAAAGCAAGUAGCCCUGAAAAUGGAUGUCGCUGAAGCGUCGCACCCAUACCCGGCCGCUGCGACACGGAGGUAAGUCGCAGCGAGUAGGAAGGACGCAGCGGUGUGCGUUGAAGGUGACGGGCGUGGGCCCGCCUGGAGCCGCCGCUGGUGCAGAUCUUGGUGGUAGUAGCAAAUACUCAAGUGAGACCCUUGAGGACCGACGUGGAGAAGGGUUCCAUGUGAACAGCAGUUGAACAUGGGUCAGUCGGUCCUAAGGAAUCGGAGAAAUCCGUUCUGAAGGCGGGACAUCGUUUUGGUGCAUGGCGUGUCCCGACCGAGACCGAAAGGGAAUCGGGUUAAUAUUCCCGAACCCGGACACGGAGAUCGGUUCUUCGGAACCCAGUGCGGUAACGCAACCGAACUCUGAGACGCUGGCUGGGACCCCGGGAAGAGUUGUCUUUUCUUUGUAAGGUGGCGGCUCCCUGGAAUCGGUUCGCCCGGAGAUAGGGAUGAUGUCACCGUAAAGCACCGCGGUUCUUGCGGUGUCCGGAGCGUUCUGGCCGGCCCUUGAAAAUCAGAGGGAGGGAGUGUGAUUUUCGUGCCGGACCGUACCCAUAUCCGCAGCAGGUCUCCA
rnacentral:rRNA from 1 species